AACGAACGCUGGCGGCGUGCCUAACACAUGCAAGUCGCGCGAGAAAACGGGGGCAACUCCGUGAGUAAAGCGGCGCACGGGUGAGUAACACGUAGGUAACCUACCUUCGAGUUCGGGAUAACCUUCCGAAAGGAGGGCUAAUACCGGCUAAGACCACGGGAUCUCGGUCCUGGGGUUAAAGAUGGCCUCUGCUUGCAAGCUAUCGCUCGGGGAUGGGCCUGCGCACCAUUAGCUAGUUGGCGGGGUAAUGGCCCACCAAGGCGAAGAUGGUUAGCUGGUCUGAGAGGAUGGCCAGCCACACUGGGACUGAGACACGGCCCAGACUCCUACGGGAGGCAGCAGUGGGGAAUCUUGGACAAUGGGGGAAACCCUGAUCCAGCGACGCCGCGUGGGUGAUGAAGGCCUUCGGGUCGUAAAGCCCUGUCGGGGGGGAAGAAACUCCUGCCGGUGAACAAUCGGCGGGAUUGACGGUACCCCCUAAGGAAGCACCGGCUAACUCUGUGC
rnacentral:rRNA from 1 species